rnacentral:rRNA from 1 species
AGUGAACGCUGGCGGCAGGCCUAACACAUGCAAGUCGAACGGCAGCACAAGAGAGCUUGCUCUCUGGGUGGCGAGUGGCGGACGGGUGAGGAAUGCAUCGGAAUCUGCCCAUUUGUGGGGGAUAACCUCGGGAAACCGGGACUAAUACCGCAUACGACCUACGGGUGAAAGCAGGGGAUCUUCGGACCUUGCGCAGAUGGAUGAGCCGAUGCCGGAUUAGCUAGUUGGAGGGGUAAAGGCCCACCAAGGCGACGAUCCGUAGCUGGCCUGAGAGGAUGAUCAGCCACACUGGGACUGAGACACGGCCCAGACUCCUACGGGAGGCAGCAGUGGGGAAUAUUGGACAAUGGGCGCAAGCCUGAUCCAGCCAUGCUGCGUGUGUGAAGAAGGCCUUCGGGUUGUAAAGCACCUUUGUUGGGAAAGAAAAGCAGCCGGUUAAUACCCGGUUGUCAUGACGGUACCCAAAGAAUAAGCACCGGCUAACUUCGUG